GUGGGGAAUAUUGGGCAAUGGGCGAAAGCCUGACCCAGCAACGCCGCGUGAAGGAAGAAGGUUUUCGGAUCGUAAACUUCUAUCCUUGGUGAAGAUAAUGACGGUAGCCAAGAAGGAAGCCCCGGCUAACUACGUGCCAGCAGCCGCGGUAAUACGUAGGGGGCAAGCGUUGUCCGGAAUGAUUGGGCGUAAAGGGCGCGUAGGCGGCCCGGUAAGUCUGAAGUGAAAGUCCUGCUUUUAAGGUGGGAAUUGCUUUGGAUACUGUCGGGCUUGAGUGCAGGAGAGGUAAGCGGAAUUCCCGGUGUAGCGGUGAAAUGCGUAGAGAUCGGGAGGAACACCAGUGGCGAAGGCGGCUUACUGGACUGUACCUGACGCUGAGGCGCGAAAGUGUGGGGAGCAAACAGGAUUAGAAACCCCGGUAGUCC
rnacentral:rRNA from 1 species